UACGUAGGGGGCAAGCGUUGUCCGGAAUCAUUGGGCGUAAAGGGUGCGUAGGCGGCGCGGUAAGUCGGGUGUGAAAUCUUGGAGCUUAACUCCGAAACUGCAUUCGAUACUGCCGUGCUUGAGGACUGGAGAGGAGACUGGAAUUUACGGUGUAGCGGUGAAAUGCGUAGAUAUCGGGAGGAACACCGGUGGCGAAGGCGGUUCUCUGGGCCUUACCUGACGCUGAGGAGCGAAAGCGUGGGGAGCGAACAGG
rnacentral:rRNA from 1 species